rnacentral:rRNA from 1 species
GACGAACGCUGGCGGCGUGCCUAAUACAUGCAAGUUGAGCGAUGAAGCUUGGUGCUUGCACCAAUUUGAAGAGCAGCGAACGGGUGAGUAACGCGUGGGGAAUCUGCCUUUGAGCGGGGGACAACAUUUGGAAACGAAUGCUAAUACCGCAUAACAACUUUAAACAUAAGUUUUAAGUUUGAAAGAUGCAAUUGCAUCACUCAAAGAUGAUCCCGCGUUGUAUUAGCUAGUUGGUGAGGUAAAGGCUCACCAAGGCGAUGAUACAUAGCCGACCUGAGAGGGUUGAUCGCCACAUUGGGACUGAGACACGGCCCAAACUCCUACGGGAGGCAGCAGUAGGGAAUCUUCGGCAAUGGACGAAAGUCUGACCGAGCAACGCCGCGUGAGUGAAGAAGGUUUUCGGAUCGUAAAACUCUGUUGGUAGAGAAGAACGUUGGUGAGAGUGGAAAGCUCAUCAAGUGACGGUAACUACCCAGAAAGGGACGGCUAACUACGUG